AGUGAUCCUCCCACCACAGCCUCCUGAGCAGCUGGCACUAUAGAAAGGAACAAAUUGCUGAUGCAUGUUACAGUGUGGAUGAACCUCAAAAACAUUAUGCUAAGUAAAAGAAGCCAGAAUCCAGAUGCAAAAGACAACAUAUUAUAUGCUUCCAUUUAUAAGAACUGUCCAGAAAAGACAAAUCUCUAAAGAUGACUGAAACGGAGGGAAACUGAGGCACCCAGCCAACAGCAGUACCAACCACUCACUGCAUGUGGGAAUUUGUCCCUCUUGGACCUUCCAGCCCAAACGACCUUCUAGGUGACUGCAGCCACAUGAGCAAGUCCAGCAGAGGAAAUGCCCAGCCAAGCUAUGAGUCAAGAAAUGUAAGAAAUUGU